GACGAACGCUGGCGGCGUGCUUAACACAUGCAAGUCGAACGGAAAGGCCCUGCUUUUGUGGGGUGCUCGAGUGGCGAACGGGUGAGUAACACGUGAGUAACCUGCCCUUGACUUUGGGAUAACUUCAGGAAACUGGGGCUAAUACCGGAUAGGAGCUCCUGCUGCAUGGUGGGGGUUGGAAAGUUUCGGCGGUUGGGGAUGGACUCGCGGCUUAUCAGCUUGUUGGUGGGGUAGUGGCUUACCAAGGCUUUGACGGGUAGCCGGCCUGAGAGGGUGACCGGCCACAUUGGGCCUGCGAUACGGCCCAGACUCCUACGGGAGGCAGCAGUGGGGAAUAUUGCACAAUGGGCGGACGCCUGAUGCAGCAACGCCGCGUGCGGGAUGACGGCCUUCGGGUUGUAAACCGCUUUGUCCUGUGACGAAGCGUGAGUGACGGUAAUGGGUAAAGAAGCACCGGCUAACUACGUG
rnacentral:rRNA from 1 species